rnacentral:rRNA from 1 species
UACGAAGGGGGCUAGCGUUGUUCGGAAUUACUGGGCGUAAAGCGCACGUAGGCGGGUUGUUAAGUCAGGGGUGAAAUCCUGGAGCUCAACUCCAGAACUGCCUUUGAUACUGGCAACCUAGAGACUGGAAGAGGUUAGUGGAAUUCCCAGUGUAGAGGUGAAAUUCGUAGAUAUUGGGAAGAACACCAGUGGCGAAGGCGGCGCUCUGGGCCGGAACUGACGCUGAGGAGCGAAAGCGUGGGUAGCAAACAGG